rnacentral:rRNA from 1 species
GUACACUCCUACGGGAGGCAGCAGUGGGGAAUAUUGCACAAUGGGCGCAAGCCUGAUGCAGCCAUGCCGCGUGUAUGAAGAAGGCCUUCGGGUUGUAAAGUACUUUCAGCGGGGAGGAAGGCGAUAAGGUUAAUAACCUUGUCGAUUGACGUUACCCGCAGAAGAAGCACCGGCUAACUCCGUGCCAGCAGCCGCGGUAAUACGGAGGGUGCAAGCGUUAAUCGGAAUUACUGGGCGUAAAGCGCACGCAGGCGGUCUGUCAAGUCGGAUGUGAAAUCCCCGGGCUCAACCUGGGAACUGCAUUCGAAACUGGCAGGCUAGAGUCUUGUAGAGGGGGGUAGAAUUCCAGGUGUAGCGGUGAAAUGCGUAGAGAUCUGGAGGAAUACCGGUGGCGAAGGCGGCCCCCUGGACAAAGACUGACGCUCAGGUGCGAAAGCGUGGGGAGCAAGCAGGAUUAGAUACCCCAGUAGUCCCA